GCCCAGCUAGCUCAGUCGGUAGAGCAUGAGACUCUUAAUCUCAGGGUCAUGGGUGAAAGGCUGUGUUGGCUG
rnacentral:tRNA from 1 species